rnacentral:rRNA from 1 species
UACGUAGGGGGCUAGCGUUGUCCGGAAUCAUCGGGCGUAAAGAGCUCGUAGGCGGUUUGUCGCGUCGAAUGUGAAAACCCGGGGCUCAACCCCGGGCCUGCAUUCGAUACGGGCAGACUAGAGUUCGGUAGGGGAGUCUGGAAUUCCUGGUGUAGCGGUGAAAUGCGCAGAUAUCAGGAGGAACACCGGUGGCGAAGGCGGGACUCUGGGCCGAUACUGACGCUGAGGAGCGAAAGCGUGGGGAGCAAACAGG